ensembl:lncRNA
ACUCUGACACCCUCUCCCCCGACACGCCACAGUCGGCAGGGGGCUCACAGCAGGUGGUUUCACCCACUCCGUCUUCCCAGCUGCCCCGGCCACAGAGACUGAACUUUCGUAGACCACAGUUCACGAUAGAACUUUCACCCAGCUCGUCGUCAGUGGCUUCAGCAGAGGCAGCAGCAGCAGCAGAGACGGAGGCGGAGGAGGCUGCAGCAACAGCGCCAUCAUCAGCAGCGGCAUCACCGCCGACACCUCCACCGGCGGCAGCGACGCCCUCAAUAUCUGCCGUAUGGUCCGUCGCACCGCGCAAUCCGUGUGUGGCCCCGAACACGGACGAGGUGGAGUUCUCCCAGAGGAACCUGGAGGAGCUGGUGCAGCAGGAGGUCAACUUCUCCGGAGAUCUUCCCCCGAAGGAGAAACUGCGCCUCACACAUCUCAACACUGCUAUUGCAAAAAUGUGUGAGUACAUCCCAGCGCUGCCAGCAGGUCUCUUCCACACAGGUCCGGAUAACAUCCACUGGACCCGAGCCACAGCGGCCCGCAUAUUUGACCAUUGGGUGCACUACUUAAACUAAUUGUCCCCAUAAACCUGCCUACUCAGGAGGGGGAUAAGUUAGUCAUCAACCUCAC